UAGGGGGCAACCCCUUUAUUUUAUUUAUUUCCAAAGGACAACAUGAGCACGGCCACAACAACCAGUCUGAUUAAACACAAGAUAAUGCGCUGCCGAAUUAAGACCAAGAAUUUACAAAUAUUUCUUAAUUUAAAUACCCACUAAACAGACUACUGGUGAACAAUCUCCAUGACAGUUUUAUCUUUGGAAGAUUCCAAAUUCAGUUGCAAAGGAACACAUGCAUUGUAGUUACAUAUCACUCAUUCUGAACAGGCCUGAAUCCGGGAAGUCGUAUUUCUUUGGGAAAAUGGAUACAGCAAAGGAGCUAUUACAUCAAAUUUACCAACAUAUGCAUAAACCAAAGAGCAGCGGGGCAUCAUCAGACGCGGACUUUUACUUCGUAGCCUGGGCAAUGAUGUUACUGAUGGAGCCAGCUUCCUCUUUAGCAGCCUCUACCAACGAAUCCUGUGAAAGUAGAGAAGCGAAUUGUUAAGACAAAAAAAAAAUCAGGACUUCUUGAGCACAGUCCAACACAGAUUUUGCAAUUUUCUAUUGUACACGUGUUUCUAUAUCUGUACAACUGUAAAGAAAUAUAAGAGUGUUUAGAUCACUAAAGUAGUAGUGAUCUAAAGUCUAAACGCUCUUAUAUUAGUUUACGGAGGGCGUAUACUGGAAGCACAAACUCAUUCAAGAGGUAACAGAAUAGAUUUUAGAAGAAGAUGCUAAUCCUAAUAUUUAAGCAAAGAAAUGAACUCUACUGAACCAUAGGGAAAAAAGUGAGGUACAGUCAAGACAUGAAUCAAGAGAAAGAUUUAAUACUACCCAAAGUCAUACACUCUUAACUAGUCAUGGGAAUGUACAAUUUAUGUUAGCCGGUGGUGAGGAUACCUGUGCAGCAAUAAGUCUUGCAACAUUCUUCUUGCUAGAUUCCUGAAGCUCACCAGAAAUGAGAAUCUCAUCCAGUACGUAGUACGCCUGCAAAUUUCACCAUUGGUACUCAUGAAAAUGAGUACAUGACUCAUAAAAAUGGCAUAACUCGGGCAAGAAAAGAAUUAAUAUAACUCUAGUCCUGGAUCUUCAGCGUCAACAUUUCAACACAUGUGAAAGAGAUUACCUUGUGGAAAUUGAAUAUCAAAUCCAGCUCGCAUACCUAAAGAAAUUAUGAAAAAGACAGUCAAAACAAUAGUACAUUCAAGAAAUAAUGCUAAUCCAUAAAAAUCAUCACAGGGAACACUUACACUGCCGAAAUAACGGUCCAGUAUCUCAACAAAAUGAUGGAUAAUUUCAAGGACUUCGAGCUCAUUAUCAUCAGCAUCGAUACACAUGCAGAAAUAGAGGCUGGCAUACCUGUACACAAUUAUAAGCAGAUAUAUAUAAAUAGCUAACAAGCAUAUCUUGCAAACAGAAUAGACUCAAUGGCGUUCUUUAUUACUAAAACAUACCUUCUGUACACAACCUUGUAACCUCUCCACUCGACAAAGUUGCAGAGUUUUGGCCCUCGAGUAAGAAUGAGCCCACUAAGCUCACGGAUGACCUUUCCAAAUGAGAAGAAUGCGGAAAAAUUAGCUAACCAGUACAAUCCUCUUAGCCAACAGAAAUCAUGUAGUAGGCAGUAGCGAUUUAAGAGGAUUAAAUGUAAAACCGUUGUCGGUGUAUGAGCACCUACAAUAUAGCCAUCUUUCAUAGAAAACAAAUACAUUGAAUGGGCACCCAAGAGGGCAGGAAAAUACCAAAAGCAUGCAUUAAAGCGUUAAAGAGCUAGAAUCACAAAUCAUCAACACUGGGAAGCAACAGAAAUGCUAGCAUAAAACGGAGGCUGAACAGAUCAUAAGGACAGUACAAUAGCUGAAAUUUAUCCUUAGAAGAAGCAUCUGUCACCAUCUACUCAUAAUCAUAAGUAUACACUAGCACAAACACACAUAGCAGCAAACUCUGCUUUGACAUAGUUUGCAUCAACUUGCAAGUUGUUUAAUUAGCACAUAGACAAACGGACAUAAAAGCUCAGUAUAAGAUGUUGACCUUAGUCCUCUCCUUCUGGGUGUAAGGCGAGUACCACUUGGUGAGCCUCACCUUGCCCUGGCGGCUGAUUAGGAGCACGAAAUUAAUCUGUGAACAUGCAGAGAAGAAAAGGAAAGUUAAGCGACAGUGAACCCCAAACAAGAUCCAGUGCUAGUGGCAACAAGCAACCGCCUGUGUUGCACAGACACAGACAGAUAUUUGACUUUUCAAACAAUGUUGACAGAAAAACACUGCUAUAUGUAUUUAAAUAUAAUGAAUAUAAUUCAUUAAAUCUUAAAAGUGCACUUCAGCUUGACAAAUUAUCGACUACACUUAUUCUGCAUCUCUUCUUUCAGAAAAACGACACUUCUAUUGAUUUCCAGCGGAACACGUGGGCAUGGCCCACUCGCCAAAUAUACAAUCUUUAACAGGACAGGUACAACUACAUAACAGGGCCAUUCAUGGUUGUAUCACUAAAGAGUUUGUCCUAUCAGUCAAUUCUGCUGAAAUCCAAAAAUGUGUAGUGUUCUGAAACUAUGAUACAGGAAGUAGUUAAUCAAGAAGUUUAUUUUCUACUGUACAUGUCUGUUCUACGCUCGAAUAAUAUAAGCUGGAGACAUGGAAAUGUGCCUUAAACAUGAUCACCAGCAGCCAUCAAUGUGGUACUGAAAAUGCAGCAUUUAAAAGGAGAUCCCGUCUAAACUCUACAAACUACUAUCUUCUCGAAACUACAACAGAACAAUGUGGCGCUCAAAAGGGGGUUUGGCCUUUCACAGAAUCGGUGGGCAAUGGCUGCCCAAUUCAUAUACCGUACAGAAACAGAAAAGACCGUGAUGAAUGGCUGUAAUUCCUCCUUGAAAUGGGAUCAUAACACUCUCGGAUCCAUAACACCGUUGAGCAAAUCCACUGGCUCGAGAAAUUCCGCUAAAUUGGCUGUGCCUGGCUUGCAAAUUCCAAAUCGAUAGCAAACUGGUGGGUAUUCUCUCCUAUUCUCCGAGAUCCGGAUCCGAACGAUAAAUGAGAUCUCACGACCUCUAGCGUAACCCGGGGGAUCUACAGGGAAGGGGAGGACGAGGAACUCACCAUGGCUAGGGACGGUCGAGGCCCGCGAGGAGGAGCGAGGCGGGUGGGCGUGGCCGCGCGGAUCUGGCGGCGAGGGCGGCCGGGGUUGCAGCCGGUCGUCGGAGGAGGUAGGAUCGCCGAGAGACGGGAGCGCGAGCGGCGUCGGUCGGCGUCUGGGCUGGGCUGGGCGGUCUGGGUCGCGUCGGGUGCGCGAUCUGCUACGGUGCUNNNNNNNNNNNNNNNNNNNNNNNNNNNNNNNNGGGUAUUCUCUCCUAUUCUCCGAGAUCCGGAUCCGAACGAUAAAUGAGAUCUCACGACCUCUAGCGUAACCCGGGGGAUCUACAGGGAAGGGGAGGACGAGGAACUCACCAUGGCUAGGGACGGUCGCGGCCCGCGUAGAUCUGCCGAGGCCCGAGAGGAGGAGCGAGGCGGGUGGGCGUGGCCGCGCGGAUCUGGCGGCGAGGGCGGCCGGGGUUGCAGCCGGUCGUCGGAGGAGGUAGGAUCGCCGAGAGACGGGAGCGCGAGCGGCGUCGGUCGGCGUCUGGGCUGGGCUGGGCGGUCUGGGUCGCGUCGGGUGCGCGAUCUGCUACGGUGCUACCAGUGUUGAGCCAAACCGGUCUAUUUGCUGGUUUUCCGUUGUUCUGGGGUCCUUCCUGCAUAUUGCAGGCAACUUUGUGUGUCUUCUUUUUUUUUCGAUAAACAGGUGAUCACCCCCGGCUCCAUUUCAUAUCUAACUUAUAAAGGAUGAAAGGGGUGGUAGUCACAACCAUCGCUCGAGCGCACCGUAACACGCGAGGGGUAAAAACGCACCGCACCGCGCUCCUUGUGGUAAGAAAAACGCGAGGGCGCACCGCACCACACGAGCGAAAUAGUUCGAGCGAGCGAGCCGGCCUGCAUCUCCCCCCUCCGCCCGAGCCAUCGUCUCCCCCGCCACACGCACACCCAAUCCCCUCCCCUCCAACCCUAGCCGCCCCGCUCCCCUCCCUCUCCACGGCGCCGCCGCCUCCUCCCCUUCUGCCCUGCUCUCCACCGUGCCGCCUCUUCCUCCUCUUCACUGCCCUCUCUAGCGGCGGCAAAGAUCUGCCGACAAAAGGGAGACGACGGCGACGCUCGAUCCGAUCUGCUGAAGAGAAAAGAUGAGAGGGAGAGAGACAAGGAAGGAGAGGAGGGAGAAAGAUAGAGGAAAGAGGAGAGCGAGGUGUGAUGGCAGAUGAGAGAGGGUCACCGGAAGGAGCGUGACGACCUGCAGACAAAGGGCGGCGGCGGCGCCGCUCGAUUUGAUCUGCGGGAGAGAGAAUAUGAGAGGGAAAGAGAGAAGGAAGAACAUGAGAGGAGGGAGAAAGAGAGAGGAAAGAGGAGAGGGCGUUGACGGCCGACAGGAGAGGAUCACCGGAAGGAGUGCCGCCGGCUCGUCGUCUUUCACACCGGGUGAAGGAGCAGGGGAGGCGGGCAACAAGGAUGGGAAGCAUCGGGCCGUCAUGGUGCGGUGGAGAUGCUGGGAAGAAGGAGGAGGGCGUCUGCAUCAUCCCCAGGGGUGCUCGUGGAGCUGCUCCUCAAUGAGAUCCACCAUGGAGCAAGCCGUCGUGGCAGCACAUCCCCGCCCCCUCUGAGGCAAUAGAUCAAGCACACCAUCAAACUGAGGUGAGCCACCACUAGCCCCAGCUCUUCUCCUCCCGGGUCCCUUUCUCACCGAGCUCACGCUGCUGCCCGGUUGAAGCACAAGCAGACGGUGUAAACGGCCGCCCAAUCUCACUGUAUUUGUCCCUCAAGCAAGUGCACACACUCUUGCCCUCUCCUGAAUUUUUUCCCUCCUUCCAAUGCCUUGCUCCUAGAACUUCUCAUAUUUGCUUGUACAUAUUUUGUUUCUGUACGCUUGCAAGGUGCUUGAUGAAAAACCCAUAAGGCUGGUAGGGGAGUAGUAGUCUAUGUAAGCCACGUGAGUUCAUUUUUCAAAAAAUUAGUUUCAGUCAAUCAUAACAAGAUGAUUUUGAGAUUAAUGAGAAUCCAUGAGGUGAAUAAAAGUAUAAAGAAACAAAAAAAUAUUUGGUCAAAACAUUAGUUCCAGUCAACUAUAACAAGAAUCCAUGAGUUAGAUCUUUGCUUCUAUGUAUGAGGUCGUCGACCCUUCAGAAUUCUCCAUGAUGAUUUUACCAAUAAAUUUGCAUUUGGUAACUUGAUUUCCUUCCCUGAUGUAUAAGCAUGUAGGAGACAUGAAAUUGUGUAUAUUUUGCCAUCGUGAGGUUAUUCUUAGGUUUUCUUAUGUUCUGUUUUAUCCUUCUCGGACGCGGAUAGGAAAAGAAAACUGAAACAUGUUCACUAAAAUGCCUGCUUUCCAGGCCUUUGUUUUCAUGUAGCGAUGUAUUUUAGUGUACACUUACCUGACUACAUGUGCUACUGCAUCUUUUGUUUAUCGCUAGAACUGUUGUCCGUACCAAAUGUGCAAAUUGUACCAACUUCAUACAAUGAGCUAUGCCUGAUAGUUAUUGUAGUCAUUUCCCCUCCUAAAAGUAUCGUUUUCCUAUUUGUAGGAGCUUCAGUAAGGUUGCUCACCAAUGAGCCGGAAGUGUUUUUGUCCUGGGUACUUGCAUGAUUGAAGAUGAAAUUGGGUAUUCCAAAAUGUGCUAUUGCAGAUCAAAGGUGAACUCAUCCCAUUUUCUUACUUCAAUCUCGGGUGAAUAUUUUCCUGUCCACUAACAUUCUCUUUUAUGUAAUUAUUUCAUUGAUCCAUGACGUCGGCCAUCCUUUGUUUGAAUGUUUAGCUUGCUUUUCGUACUAACUAUGAAUUCCUGCAUUUGUAUAUUUGGCUCACGAUAAUAUAAACGAUGGUUCUUUUCAUUGUGGAAGUUAUAUUUCUAUUCAGAUAGGUCAUAUCGGUGCUUGAUAAUGUACGAACUGUGUUGAUCUAUCUAACCUACUGCCUCUCUGCAGUAAUUAGAAAUCAGAAAAUCAAAAUGCAUAGACAGAAUUUGUCACACAUUUUGUUGGGUAUCAACACAAAAACUAUAGUCCUUUAGGGCAGCUUCCUACAGGUUAUCAAAACAAAUCUAUAGUUUUGUGCUGCCUAGGCUUUUACUGUUGGAAGGAGGAUACUCCAUGCGGUUCUUUGCCCCCAUCUGUGCUUUGUUGAUCUAUAUACAUUGGGUAAAGGUUCUUUGUUUUUUUAUUGAUGGUUGAUUGAAACUCAACUGUGUACUAAUUUAUAACUCGCAAUAAAAGGGAGAAGAAUCAACUCGAGCAUGUUCGGUAUAUGUAACUUGCAGAAAUUUAAUGUCAUCUUCUUCUUUGUAGGCCCCUAAGAGCAACUUCAAGAAGGGCCAAAAACAAGUCAAGAGUUCAGCCAAUAUUAUUUGCUUCAAGUGCAAAAUUGAAGGGCAUCAUGUUAGAUCUUGCCCAUUGAAGAAGAAGGCCUUUAGUGACAAGCAACAAGGGAAGCGGCUACAAGUGCAUUCUCAUGCUCAACCUCAAGUUAAAGAAAGGCCUCUUCCCAAGAAGACUCAAGCUAAUGCUUCUCAAGUUGAGAAAUCAAGUGACAAGAAAGUAAAGAGUAGAAGUUGCUACCUAUGUCGUGAGAAAGGUCACCUCGCUUCUUCAUGCACUAUUGGUAACUUAUCCAACCCAAUUAUUAUUUAUGAUGUCUAUUCUCUUGGGAAGGAUAAGGUUGGCAAUGUGGUUGCCAAGUUUGUUGGUACUCAAAGUGGUUUGAAGCAAAGAACCAUUUGGGUAGCCAAGCCUAUUGUGACUAACCUCUUAGGACCCAACUUGGUUGGGGACCAACUAGCUCAAACUUGAUCAAUAGGUGUUGUUGGAGGGCAUUGGAGACUUGGCUACAUUAUGAAGAAUUAAGGGGACUUCAUCAUUCUUUUUGUCACAAGCCAAGUCAAUUGGAUUAUCAAGUUUCUAUCUUAUAUCCAAAGUGCCUCCUUGCGGUAACUUGUACUUAAAUUGUUUACUUUGAAAGUUACCUGCCCCCUUGCAUGUUUUGGUUUUGUUCCUUGCAUGUGUCUGUAUAUGUUGUGAUUCCAACUUGCUUAUCUUGAGCAAUCAAGUAUGUGUGUGUUGGUUUGCACACCAUGUGCGUGUGUGUCGUGCGUUGAGCCUUUAUGCUUCUUGACGGUGUCCUGGACUAGGGGGUACUCAACGCGUCGUCUCCCGAUCAGUUGGAUUGGGCCGAGGACCCCCAUGGCCGUAUACUCAUGGGCCAGUCCGGACAGCUGCCGCAUACAAGGAAGAAUCAACAAGACUUGGCGAUCAAGACAAGGACUCCUCCCCCACCGCGUAUUCGGCUAGGACUCUUGUUAUCAUAGGCCUCUGUUGCAUUAUAUAAACCGGGGCCAGACUAGUCGAUAGACAUAUACAACAACAAUUAUACCAUAGUCUAGCUUCUAGGGUUUAGCCUCCUUGAUCUUGUGGUAGAUCUACUCUUGUACUACCCAUAUCAUCAAUAUUAAUCAAGCAGGACGUAGGGUUUUACCUCCAUCGAGAGGGCCCGAACCUGGAUAAACAUUGUGUCCCUUGCCUCCUGUUACCAUUGAUCCUAAGACGCACUGCUUGGGACCCCCUACCCGAGAUCCGCCGGUUUUGACACCGACAUUGGUGCUUUCAUUGAGAGUUCCGUUGUGUGAUCAGCGAAAGGAUCAAUGGCUCGACUGCAGGUCAACUGCGACGUCUCCUUCUUCGUCACCAGCUCGACUGGUCACCUUGGCUUGACCGAGGACUGUGCCCUACCUCCGAUCGUCAUGUUCGGAUGAAGGCCUUCAUCAACACCAACUUCGAUCUCUAUCAAGAUCAUGGAGGAGUCAUCCAUGGAGCUCGGGGGCUCAAUGUCAACAUUGCCCUCAGGCGACCGUGCUGUUUUUCUGGACAACAAACUUGUAUCCGCUGCCACCGCCUCCUCGAGUGUCGCCUAAACGAUUACUUCGGUGGAAUUAUGCGGAAUUAAGUCUACAACAACCCUGCAAAAAUUUCGUCGAGUUCCGAUGGAGGAAUCUCCGGCAAUCUCCGAUAUAUCGGAGCCCUGUUGAAUCUGGACGAGAAUCCGGACGAGUUUAGAGCAUGGUAUCCAGCAUCUAGCUCGGAUGUCCUUUGGAAGAUCCAACCGUUGAUUUGCUGAGAAAUUACCAUAUCUACCACGUGCCAAAAAUUCAGCUCGAUCCGACCGUCCAAACUCCAGAAAACUUCCGAUUAGUGCAUCACUUUUUGGAUCUACUUUCUGCGCAAGAACGAAUCCGACCCGAAUUCAUCUUUUUUAUGAACGGGAUCUCGGACAUCCUUUUUGAAGGAAGUUUUCGUAUGGGGUGUUGUGUUUUAUUCUCAAACACAUCCCAGUAGUAUUAAAAGUAUUCUUGCAAUACGAACUUCACCGUCACGCCGGUGUCAAACCAGCCCGACAAUAUCACUCCACGGCGACCGACCUGCGUUAGACACGUCGUCGCUUUGUUGAGCCGAGCUCAAUUUCUUCGGAUCAUCAUCUCGGCCAGCCGAACAAUAGUUCGGCAUCGCGAAGGAUAAAUCGUCACCAACAUCGCUGGCCCACGGAUUACACGGAGCGGGCGCACCUACAUCACCACACGGUCACUUCAUCAAGCCGGCAUCGACCACGUCACGACCUGCAUCGCUAGACCGGGGGCUUCAUCAUCUCUUCAUCAACCUACUCCGGAGACUUCGGUGUCGCUGGCCGACCAGCUCCGUCACGUUAGCUGGACUGAGGGCUUUGCCUCAGCGAGCCAACCUUUGCCAGCAUCGCCAUGCCGUUGCUUUAUCGCCCAUCAGGCGAUAGGUGUGCGGAUCGAGUCCCAAUUUUGGGAAUCACCUUUCCUCGGAUUGCUGCAACAAAUAAGCCAGGUGCUAUUAAUCCUAAUAUGUUUUGCUUGUUAGGGUUCAUUUUUCCCAAUGAAUUAUUACUCUGGUUUGUCCGUCAUAUGUACGCAGGUCUAUCAAAUGGUGGCCGCAUUAACGACGGUCGCAUGUUGGUUCGGUCAGUUUCCCUACAUAGUCCGGCGAACGCCGCAUCCGGAGCUCGAGCCGACCUGUGAAUUCAGGCCUUGCCAUGCCUUUACCGCAUCACGUCGCCGCCCUGCAUCGACAUUGACUUCGGCUCCAGGCCAUAUUUCUUUUACUACUCACUUUGCAUAAAUUAUUUGUUAUGCAACGAAUUUUUUAUUUUUAUUUUUUAUUACUACUAUUAUCUCCGGUUUACACUAUUUUUUGUGCACAGGAAAAUGAUCCAGCCGGACUAUAUCCUUUGGCGUCACCUCGGCUGGACGGGGGGCUUCGUCAAUACUUCAUUACCCCAUGCCGGGGACUUCCACAUCACCCUGCCGUCUUGCAUUGACCGUGCUAUGUCACCACUUCGGAGUGCCGAGCUCUUUGCUCCGCCACCUCGGGACCGGCUCUAGGAUGGAACCUUGUCCCGCAUCAAGCUCGGACCGCGUCAUCAAUACCGAACACAUUAACUAGCUAAGUUGUCUUCAUGCUCAAAGUUUUAAAUUUUUAACUUGUGUUCGGCUCAGCCAAGCAUUAUACUUUUUUGGAAAAAAGUUGCUUGUAAAAAUUUCCUUGUCCAAACUUUGUUUGUGACGCGCAAAUUCAAAUACCCCGUUUACUUGGGGGCUUCCUUCAUGAAGCUUUUUCCUCUUGCAUAUGGUUAUACUUGUACAGUUUCAUUCCUUGUUCGUGUAUUACGCCACAAUAUGCACCAUAUUGACUUAAGCGAUUUGCAAGCUGAGUUGCCUGGCUCCUGUGCUUACCCCUACAUUCCCGAUUGUUCGGCUAGGGAGUAAAGGGAGCACCUCUGCGAUUGUCACGAUCAGGUCACCCGAGCCGGACCUCAGACUGGGUGAAGCCGAAAGCUAGCGCUCUUAUUGUUUUCAAUCAUGGUCGGCACACAACGGAACUCAUGAGUACAAAAAAUCUAUUGCACAAGUCUCAUAAUAACAAUGAGCACCGAAGAAAGGUAUCGGUGGGGGUACUAUUUUCUUCGAAGAUGCUUCUUACACUUCGCAGUAAUAUAGCAUAAGUUCCCUGAGCGCGCUUUAUCUGUUACAGCCUUAUGGCCUGAUUGCCUGGUUAUUGGAAACACCGUCGAUAUUCUCGACAGAUGGAGUACAUAACACUUUUCGGUCCUUGACCGAAGAGGGAGAAGCCGAUGGUCGGUUAAGACGCGUUUAAAGUUCGGUUGAACAUAGAUAUGAUAUAAGUACUUCGGUACAUGCAAUCAUUUUUUUACCCAAGUCACUUGGGGGCUCUUAAAUUUAUAUGAGCCAUUUUAUGAUAAGUGUUUUUCUUCUUAGUCGUUGGAAAGUUUUUAUUAUUAUUUAUCGCUCCUUUUUUCGACACAAGUGUGCGGUCACUAGACGGGGAGCCUAAUUUCUCUCUCAAAGUCGCUAGAGUUUAGUUUGCUAAACUGGCCUAGUAAGAAGUACUCCGCCUUCGGGAUAGGAGGUUGAAGCCGUAGGCUGACCCGCUUGAAGUUUUGAGAUAGGAUGUGUCAUGUUAAAGCACGGCAGAAGCACCUUUUUUUCUUCUAAAGUCCAAUUUUCUGAUUGGCACCGAACACUUGAUCUAGUUCGGACAUUAACCUUUUGAAUAAGUUUUUUUGGAUUUUCGAGCCCAUGGCACUUAUAAACUAUUUGUGUGUUUUCAGCAUAAGUCUCGCAGUGCAACGCCGGACACCUUUAGAGAUCCGGCAAAAAAAUUCUCGGAUAUUGCUAUAUAUGCAUCGGUUUCGAAUUGUGUCUUCGGUCAAUAGUUGGGUUGCCCGGCUCCUGCGCUUGCCUCCUAUAUAUGCAAAGGGAGAACCACUGCGAUUGUGCUUCCAGCUCACAUGGUUAAGCACCUCAGUGGAGAAAGCCGAAAACUGACUGUCACAAUAAGCGUAAACUGGUCGGCGAUCCGAUGACGGCGUUAAACGACGGGCCAUUCAUAACAAUGGCCGAAGUGUUUACGGCUUGACCUUGACUAUCGCCGAACACUACCGGGGGCUAUUAACCGGCCUCCCAAACUAAAUCCUCGAUAUUUUGCUCUUACAUUGGGGCUGAGGUUUCAUGAUCGUGCUUAGCAUGACAACCCAAAGAAAGGAACCGAUAGCGGGACUAUUUUCUUUGGUAGACAUUUCUUCUGUUAAAUAGUAAUAUAACAUGUCUCUCCACGUACCUUUGUUUAUAAAAUAAUAUGGCCAGAUUGCCUUGUUUGUUGUAAAUCUUUGCCCUCAUAAUGGCUUUAUAAAGUAGGACAAACACUCCUCAGCUAUUGGUCGAGGAGGUUGAAGCCGAUGGUCGGUCAACAAAGUUUUGUACAAUGCGGAUCCGAGCAUUAAUGACGUAAAGUACUUGGAUACAUAGAGUCAUUACACAUAAUUUGUGAUUUUACUAUGGAUAUCGAUCCUUAAUUCGGCCUCCCGUGCCCGCAUUAAGGCUCCGGGGCUACUGGGCUUCGGGCUUAUUAUUUACAAAUAUUAAAGGGGCACAUCGAUCCUUUGAUCUGGUGUUGCCACCCGACCAGUGUCUCGGGGGCUACUGCAUUGCCUGUUCUAUGCAGAAAAUUUUAAGUGCAAUACAGUUUCCGAGGAGAUUUUGAUCCUCAGGUUGGUCGGCCGCACCCAACUUGAGUCUCGAGGACUGAGCACGCCGCUUUUUGUGUCCCGAAGUAUUCUGCCGAGCUAGGACUUGAUCCUCAGACCGAUUUUGCAAAUCAACAUGAGUCUCAGCGGCUACGAGGAUCAGCGGUCUUAUGUCAUCCUUCAUGUGCAUCUCGGGUUUUAGACCGAUACCCACCUUGAGGGCUACUGGCACCAAUCAAAAAUAUUGACAAAAAUCGGCCCACAUUCGGGGUGGUGCACCACCUCAGAAGCAGUCCGGCGUAAAGCUCGGGUGCUAGUGGCUGGCUCCAUAGAGGGCACUUCCGGCAUUAAGCUCGGCUAAACUCCUUCAAACUUCUUUGAACCAAGGUGAUUUACGACACCUCGGAUACAGUCCGGCGUUGGAGCUCGGAUACAUAGUCCGGCAUUGGAGCUCGGAUACCGUCCGGCAUUGGUGCUCGGCUGCAAAAGAUACCUCGAAUGCAGUCCGGCAUUGAAGCUCGGACGCAAGAGGACGUUGCCGCCCAGGAACAACCUCAAACCCGAGGCAUGGCAUAAAAAUAACAAUGCAUUGAUAAAGGCCGUAAACUUAAAGGGCUCCUUGUAUACCCAACAUGUAAACUCGUCGAAUGCAUUUCGGCGAUCCUCAAGAUAGAAGAUGAGAAGAUUUGUUGAACCAGUUUUCAAGACCGGCAACCGAAGAUGAAGAACAGUUCGGAAGAAUCGAGGAGCGUCCCUAACUUGAAGACCGGUUCAGGGGGAUACUGACGGUGUCCUAGACUAGGGGGUACUCAAUGCGUCGUCUCCCGAUCAGUUGGAUUGGGCCGAGGACCCCCAUGACCGUAUACUCAUGGGCCAGGCCGGACAGCUGCCGCAUACAAGGAAGAAUCAACAAGACUUGGCGAUCAAGAAAAGGACUCCUCCCCCACCGGCGUAUUCGGCUAGGACUCUUGUUAUCCUAGGCCUCUGGUGUAUUAUAUAAACCGGGGCCAGGCUAGUCGAUAGACAUAUACAAUAACAAUCAUACUAUAGGCUAGCUUCUAGGGUUUAGCCUCCUUGAUCUCGUGGUAGAUCUACUCUUGUACUACCCAUAUCAUCAAUAUUAAUCAAGCAGGACAUAGGGUUUUACCUCCAUCGAGAGGGCCCGAACCUGGGUAAACAUUGUGUCCCUUGCCUCCUGUUACCAUUGAUCCUAAGACGCACUGCUUGGGACCCCCUACCCGAGAUCCGCCGGUUUUGACACCGACACUUCUUGUUUGUAUCCUAGUUGGCUCGUGUGAGAGAUUAAUGGAACAUCCCAUUUUGGGGGAGUGAUGUGCUUUGUGCACCUCACAAUCCUAUAAAUGUGUGUACAUGAGGAAUACCAUCUAGUAUUGAUAUUACAAGAUUAUCUAGUCGCUAGGUGGUAUAUCUCUCAUGAGAAAUUCAAAUUCUAAAUAGUCCAUUAAUUAUCUCUUGUUUGUUCCUCUUAUUGCCUCUUGUUAAGUUCUUAUUGGUAUCACAUUAUGGGGGAGUAAUAUGCUAAGUGCAUAUUACAAGCCUAGAAAAUGUGUACAUUUGAGAUAUUGUCACCUAGAAUUGAUAUUGUAGAUUAUCUUGUUCCUAGGUGGCGUGUUAGCUCUACAAGUUGCAAUUUGCUUGUGUUUGUUGUGAAGAUGAUGUUGGAUGUCCUUGUUAUCUACCACCGGGAAUUAUUUCCAAAUACUUCUUGUCUUUUGACAAUUGGUAGUCACUUAUGUGUGGUAGAAUUUGUUGAUCAUCUUUACUUUGGCUUUUGUUUUUCCUUUUCUCUUGCCAAGGUUUGUGUCAACUCCCGAUGUCUUCCCUACCACUUGUGGAUCUUGUUUAUUUCUUGUUCUUGUCUAGUGUUUUCUAGAUAUAGUGAAAGUAGUGAUCCCACCUUAUGCAUUUUGUAUUCAAAUGCAAAUCAUAUAUAAUGCACAACUCGUGGGGGAGCUAUCCUAUUUUCUUUAGAACACUCUUCUUGUGAUCCUUAUCAAGUGUGUUUUGGUGGAAGGCAAGCCAUUUCUUUUUGGUACUUUGUGCCAUCAUGAAACUUUGUUGAGAGCUUGGUUUGUUUGGAACCAUCCUCUCUUUGGGAGUUUGACAUCUUUAGUUUAGUGUGUAUCAAUGGAUAUCUUAUUCCUUGAUGUAUCUUUAAUGAUAUCUUCCAAGUGAUGAUUUCUCCAUCUGGUAUCCUUUUCACUUGGCAUUUCUUUCUCUUUAGGUUUUGGGUUUUGAAAGUCUUGAGCAUGCAUGUUUACUUCAUGUAUUUUAUUUGGCAUGCUUUCUUUCUUUGACUCAAUAUAUAGGGGGAUCUCCACCAAGUCUCAAAUCGGAUGAGAUGUGUAUGAAAUUCAUUUUCAUAUCUAUAUGCACAUAUUUAUGUGGAGUUUGUCCUAUGUAUUGGUUUUUCUAACUAUUUGGUCCCAAUGAGUUUGGGUACCGUUUAGUUUGUGUUGUUCUUCUAGGAACAUUUGGAGAUGCAUUGGAUGCUCGGCUCACUCACAAGGAAGGUGUUGUCACCAUGUGCAUAUUGGAGUCUAGCUAGGAUGAUCAAUGAACUACUAUCUACCUUCAAUUGGUAUCUACUACAUCCUUCCAAUGAUAUCUCGGUAGCAAGUAUCUAUUCAUGCUUUCUCCUCUUGCAUUCAACCUUGUGUAGGUUGCAUCUUGGCAUGAUAUUCAUUUUAUAUCUUGUGAUACUUGUUUCCUUUCUCAAAGCAUCCCAACGAUGAUCUCUUGUUGCUAGUUGUGAUGCCUUUGAUGGAUGUGUGUUUGGACUUCAUUUAUAUACAAUAAGACCAUAUCUAGCCAAGUGCUAUGCUUUCAAGCAAAUAUCUUAUUGGUAUAUUUAUGACUUCCUUGUGGAUAUCUUGUUCCUUCGUGUUGUAACUAUUUCGGGUGUACAUAUCCUUCUUUGUAGAUAUAUAUAUCAUCAUGAUUUCGUCUACAUAGAACCUUAUACACUUGAGAGAAAUUACAUCUCUAGUUGAUAUCUUUUCUUUCACGUCCACCUUGUCUUUCUUAUGUUAUUUCUUUGGUGGCCCCGUGAAAGCUUUUGCCUUGAGUGCGUGUCCUCUAUCGUUGCAUCUUUUGCACUCUUGUGUGGUGAAGAUUAUUUUCCUCUUGCUUAUCUUUACGAGGUUUUUGCCAUCUUAAUUGGUAUCCUUCGUCUUGAUGAGCCUCCCCUCGUCUAUCUUCACCACGGGUUGUCACAAGCAUAGGUUCUCUUUUGCUUAUUAGUAAGCUUGUGAACCCAUUUGCCAGUUGUGUGUGGGAAUGAUAGGCCUUGCACCGUGUGCCUCAUUCUUUCAAGACUAUGUUGAUGCUUAAUGCUCAUCCUAAUCUUAGUCUUCUCAAGUGCUUCGCCAUGACUCACACACAUCAUUUUGGUUGAGCCUAUUCUUAAGUUGCCUCUUUUACAUGUUGCUCAACCAUGUGCUUGUUGCAAGCGCUGGGCUUUGUUUCCUAUAUGCUCACUUGCACUGGAUGUGAGUUUCUAUUGAUCUUGGGGGAGCUAUGAUCCUAUUUUGUGCACUUUGUAUUCAAAUACAAAAAAUUCUUAUGUGUGCACAGAUCAUGGGGAGCUUCUCUAGUUUCUUUAGAACACUCCUUUGCGCUUUUCAUAAUAUCUUUAUUCUUGUGGCAUGUAGGAUCAUUGGUCUAGUUGGUUCAAUUGAUAUCCGUUGAUUGCUUGCUUCAAUUGGUAUCUUCUGAUUGCUUGUGUCUCUCUUUGUUAUGCCUUUGUGGCAUAUCUUUCUGUUGCAAUCUUUGGGCAUCAAUAUAGUUUGUCUUCCUCCAAGUAUUGGCAGUUGGGUAUGUGUAUUGCAUUCCACUCUCUUGUUGAGAAAUACACAAUUUAUGGAGGACCACAAUUUAUAUUGGCCUUCUUAGAUUUUCGCCCAUUUUGGCAAUCGAUGCCAAUGGGGGAGAAGUUUCAGAGAGUUUUGUGGAGAAGUUUAGAGACUUAUCUCUUCUUUCUUUCUUUUUGUUCCUUAGCAUUUGCAUCUCAUUCGCAUGCACUAUUAGUUGUUGCAUUGCAUGGUGAUGCAUAAUUCCUUAUAUAAACUCUCUUGAAAGUGAUUGUCAUCAAUUACCAAAAUGGGGGAGAUUGAAAGAACAUGCGGUGCCCCCAUGUUUGGUUUUGGUAAUUGAUGACAAUCUCUAUGGACUAAUGGUUGUCUUGAGUUAUAUUUGAAGGAUUUGUCCAUAGGCUUUUCUUGAAGUCCAUGUGUUGGUUUCAAGGAGUUUUUGAGUUAACCAAGGUGCUAUUAAGGAAUUAUCCAAAGUUGGUCAUGCGAGUGUUGAGCUUAUUGCAAGCAUGUCUUGAAGAAGAAGGUUGUGUGAUCAUUCAUGUUUACCUUCAAGACAUCAUCCAAAUGAAGAGAGUUGCAAAG
rnacentral:lncRNA from 1 species